CGAACUAAGUGGAGUAGUUGGUCUUGUCACUUUGAAAUUAUAAGUGAGAUUCAACUUCUCUACUUAUUUCG
rnacentral:pre_miRNA from 1 species